rnacentral:rRNA from 1 species
AGUGAACGCUGGCGGUAGGCCUAACACAUGCAAGUCGAACGGCAGCACAGUAAGAGCUUGCUCUUACGGGUGGCGAGUGGCGGACGGGUGAGGAAUACAUCGGAAUCUACUUUUUCGUGGGGGAUAACGUAGGGAAACUUACGCUCAUACCGCAUACGACCUACGGGUGAAAGCAGGGGAUCUUCUGACCUUGCGCGAUUGAAUGAGCCGAUGUCGGAUUAGCUAGUUGGCGGGGUAAAGGCCCACCAAGGCGACGAUCCGUAGCUGGUCUGAGAGGAUGAUCAGCCACACUGGAACUGAGACACGGUCCAGACUCCUACGGGAGGCAGCAGUGGGGAAUAUUGGACAAUGGGCGCAAGCCUGAUCCAGCCAUACCGCGUGGGUGAAGAAGGCCUUCGGGUUGUAAAGCCCUUUUGUUGGGAAAGAAAAGCAGCAGGUUAAUACCCCGCUGUUCUGACGGUACCCAAAGAAUAAGCACCGGCUAACUUCGUG